rnacentral:rRNA from 1 species
GAUGAACGCUGGCGGCGUGCCUAAUGCAUGCAAGUCGAGCGAACGGACGAGAAGCUUGCUUCUCUGAUGUUAGCGGCGGACGGGUGAAUAACACGUGGAUAACCUACCUAUAAGACUGGGAUAACUUCGGGAAACCGUAGCUAAUACCGGAUAAUAUUUUGAACCGCAUGGUUCAAAAGUGAAAGACGGUCUUGCUGUCACUUAUAGAUGGAUCCGCGCUGCAUUAGCUAGUUGGUAAGGUAACGGCUUACCAAGGCAACGAUGCAUAGCCGACCUGAGAGGGUGAUCGGCCACACUGGAACUGAGACACGGUCCAGACCCCUACGGGAGGCAGCAGUAGGGAAUCUUCCGCAAUGGGCGAAAGCCUGACGGAGCAACGCCGCGUGAGUGAUGAAGGUCUUCGGAUCGUAAAACUCUGUUAUUAGGGAAGAACAUAUGUGUAAGUAACUGUGCACAUCUUGACGGUACCUAAUCAGAAAGCCACGGCUAACUACGUG